UACGUAGGGGGCGAGCGUUGUCCGGAUUUAUUGGGCGUAAAGAGCGUGUAGGCGGCCAGGUAGGUCUGCUGUGAAAACUCGAGGCUCAACCUCGAGACGUCGGCGGAAACCAUCUGGCUAGAGUCCGGAAGAGGAGAGUGGAAUUCCUGGUGUAGCGGUGAAAUGCGCAGAUAUCAGGAGGAACACCAAUUGCGAAGGCAGCUCGCUGGGACGUAACUGACGCUGAGACGCGAAAGCGUGGGGAGCAAACAGG
rnacentral:rRNA from 1 species